UACGGGGGGGGCAAGCGUUGUUCGGAAUUACUGGGCGUAAAGGGUUCGUAGGUGGUCGUCUAAGUCAGACGUGAAAUCCCUCAGCUUAACUGGGGAACUGCGUCUGAGACUGGAGGGCUUGAGUGCAGGAGAGGAACGCGGAAUUCCAGGUGUAGCGGUGAAAUGCGUAGAUAUCUGGAGGAACACCGGUGGCGAAGGCGGCAUCCUGGACCGGCAUUGACGCUGAGGAGCGAAAGCCAGGGGAGCAAACGGG
rnacentral:rRNA from 1 species